CCUACGGGUGGCAGCAGUGAGGAAUAUUGGUCAAUGGGCGCGAGCCUGAACCAGCCAAGUCGCGUGAGGGAAGACGGUCCUAUGGAUUGUAAACCUCUUUUGUCGGGGAGCAAAAGACGCCACGCGUGGCGUUCCGAGAGUACCCGAAGAAAAAGCAUCGGCUAACUCCGUGCCAGCAGCCGCGGUAAUACGGAGGAUGCGAGCGUUAUCCGGAUUUAUUGGGUUUAAAGGGUGCGCAGGCGGAAGAUCAAGGCAGCGGUAAAAUUGAGAGGCUCAACCUCUUCGAGACGUUGAAACUGGUUGUCUUGAGUGAGUGAGAGGGAUGCGGAAUGCGUGGUGUAGCGGUGAAAUGCAUAGAUAGCACGAAGAACUCCGAUUGCGAAGGCAGUAUACCGGCGCUCAACUGACGCUCAUGCACGAAAGUGUGGGUAUCGAACAGGAUUAGAUACCCCGGUAGUC
rnacentral:rRNA from 1 species